CCUACGGGUGACAGCAGUGGGGAAUAUUGGGCAAUGGAGGAAACUCUGACCCAGCAACGCCGCGUGAAUGAUGAAGGUCUUCGGAUUGUAAAGUUCUUUUCUAAGGGAAGCAGAAAGUGACGGUACCUUAGGAAUAAGCCUCGGCCAAAGACGUGCAAGCCGCCGCGGUAAUACGGAGGAGGCAAGCGUUAUCCGGAAUGACUGGGGGUAAAGGGUGCGUAGGUGGGUUGAUAAGGUGGUAGCGUAAAUCCGAGGGUCAACCCCGGGACUACUGCCAAAACUGUCGGACUUGAGUGCAGGAGGGGCAAGUGGAAUUCCUAGUGUAGCGGUGGAAUGCGUAGAUAUUAGGAGGAACACCAGUGGCGAAGGCGGGGUGCUGGCCUGUAACUGACACUGAGGCACGAAAGCGUGGGGAGCAAACAGGAUUAGAUACCCUAGUAGUC
rnacentral:rRNA from 1 species